UACGAAGGGGGCUAGCGUUGUUCGGAUUUACUGGGCGUAAAGCGCACGUAGGCGGAUUGUUAAGUCGGGGGCUCAACCCUCGGAUGCCGGUGGAUACUGUCGGGCUUGAGUACGGAAGAGGCGAGUGGAAUUGCUGGUGUAGCGGUGAAAUGCGUAGAGAUCAGCAGGAACACCCGUGGCGAAGGCGGCCCCCUGGGCCGUACCUGACGCUGAGGCGCGAAGGCUAGGGGAGCGAACGGG
rnacentral:rRNA from 1 species